UACGAAGGGGGCUAGCGUUGCUCGGAAUCACUGGGCGUAACGGGUGCGUAGGCGGGUCUUUUAAGUCAGGGGUGAAAUCCUGGAGCUCAACUCCAGAACUGCCUUUGAUACUGAGGAUCUUGAGUUCGGGAGAGGUGAGUGGAACUGCGAGUGUAGAGGUGAAAUUCGUAGAUAUUCGCAAGAACACCAGUGGCGAAGGCGGCUCACUGGCCCGAUACUGACGCUGAGGCACGAAAGCGUGGGGAGCAAACAGG
rnacentral:rRNA from 1 species